rnacentral:rRNA from 1 species
GCCAGCAGCCAUGUCACCCUGCAACACACAAUUGACAACUCAUCGAAGCUCAGCAGGUGUGAGCCUGGCCACUACCUGGAUGGAAGACCUCCUGGGAAAACUAAGGUUGCUGCUGGAA